rnacentral:rRNA from 1 species
GCAGUUGAUACUGGAUAUCUUGAGUGCAGUUGAGGCAGGCGGAAUUCGUGGUGUAGCGGUGAAAUGCUUAGAUAUCACGAAGAACUCCGAUUGCGAAGGCAGCCUGCUAAGCUGCAACUGACAUUGAGGCUCGAAAGUGUGGGUAUCAAACAGGAUUAGAUACCCUGGUAGUCCACACGGUAAACGAUGAAUACUCGCUGUUUGCGAUAUACGGCAAGCGGCCAAGCGAAAGCGUUAAGUAUUCCACCUGGGGAGUACGCCGGCAACGGUGAAACUCAAAGGAAUUGACGGGGGCCCGCACAAGCGGAGGAACAUGUGGUUUAAUUCGAUGAUACGCGAGGAACCUUACCCGGGCUUAAAUUGCAGAUGAAUUACGGUGAAAGCCGUAAGCCGCAAGGCAUCUGUGAAGGUGCUGCAUGGUUGUCGUCAGCUCGUGCCGUGAGGUGUCGGCUUAAGUGCCAUAACGAGCGCAACCCUUGUUGUCAGUUACUAACAGGUUCCGCUGAGGACUCUGACAAGACUGCCAUCGUAAGAUGUGAGGAAGGUGGGGAUGACGUCAAAUCAGCACGGCCCUUACGUCCGGGGCUACACACGUGUUACAAUGGGGGGUACAGAGGGCCGCUACCACGCGAGUGGAUGCCAAUCCCCAAAACCUCUCUCAGUUCGGACUGGAGUCUGCAACCCGACUCCACGAAGCUGGAUUCGCUAGUAAUCGCGCAUCAGCCACGGCGCGGUGAAUACGUUCCCGGGCCUUGUACACACCGCCCGUCAAGCCAUGGGAGCCGGGGGUACCUGAAGUGCGUAACCGUGAGGAGCGCCCUAGGGUAAAACUGGUGACUGGGGCUAAGUAG